rnacentral:misc_RNA from 1 species
UUAAGUUCAGCGGGUAUCCCUACCUGAUCCGAGGUCAACCUUUAAAAAUUGGGGGUUGCUGGCCAGCGUCCACCGGUCCCUAUCGCGAGGAGUAUUACUACGCGUAGGGCCAAGCAGGCACCGCCACUGAUUUUAAGGCCCGCCCAGAGGCGAAGCCCAAGACCCCGCCGGAGCGGGAGGUGGUCUAUAUGACGCUCGAA